rnacentral:lncRNA from 1 species
AUGAACAAUGUCGUACAGACUCACACACACAUGGAGCUUCAAUCGUAUGAUCAAUGCUUCAGUUGUUGGUUUGUGGAGAAGCUUCUCAAGGGCGACAGCUCUGGGGAGCCGUGCUCCAACCUCUUCAAGCAUUACCUGCAGUGUGUUCAGAAAGCAACAACAGAGAGAAUCUCUGUUGAAGGACUGAGUUCACGGGCCAUGGUGAAGAAAAGUAUGAAGAGUCUU